rnacentral:misc_RNA from 1 species
AAACCUACAUGUCAUCAAGAAACAUCAGAUGUUUGUUGGAAUCCUCAAAAGUUCUAAACUCUUCGUACAAAAACAGGAACAACGUGAACUACUUGACAAAAAUGGGGAUUGCAAUAGAGUUUUGGUCUAUGGAACCGACUUGAGACACAAAAAACUAUUUUUGUUGAGCCACGACGAAAAAACGAAUUUACAGAGGCAAUGGAAGGAUUUUAUGAAAACGUUCGCAACCCAUGCAGAGAACAAGCGUGCUGUUUCUUGUCGUUUGCCAAAGAAAGACCGAAAAUAUGUGUGCCAGGAUCAGGUGACCAGCUGUGCAUUCACCCCCAGGUUCUUGAACAAGAAACACACACGGCCAAGAGGCAUUUGUGCCAUACAAAGGUGUUAUCAUGCAAAGACGUGUCAUUAAUAUAAUUUGCUGCAACAAGCGAUAUACCAGUGGAACUUCAAAAUGCACAUGUCAUCAAGAAACAUCAGAUGUUUGUUUGAAUCCUCAAAACAGUACCCGACUCCGCAGUUUUAAAUUCUUCGAACAACGUGAACUACUUGACAAGCCUGGGUAUUGCAAUGGGU